GAGCUGAUGUAAGGAUUAGAGCAAACAUUGACAGCCCAUGUUAUCAGGAAGCACAGAAGAAAGUUCUAAGAAUUAGCAAAGACUGGUGUGUACAGUGAAGACUGAUAUACCGCACAUGCAUAACCUGACGCUAUCAAUGCACAUCCUCCUGAACCUCACUGCACUUUUCUGCCUGGAAAUUGGACCUCAACAAGACAGGAAAUCUAUUUCCCCAUUUCUGCCAUGUGACUACUGAAAGUGAACCGGAGUUUGGCUUGUCCUGAAAAUUUUACCAGUAAUACUAUGGAACACAUUUGAAGAAAACCAAAGUUUUCUGCUUGAGUAAAAUUUGUUUUGCUGAUGAAUUCCGUGGAGCUUUAAGUGGAAACCCUCUUUGAUACCUUUCUGAACCUCAGCAUGUUUGAUGUUCCUUGACAGAGGUCAUGUGAAGCUGCACAUGCCUCUCCAGGAUCAGCAAGGAGAUCACAGUGGCUUCAGUCUGCAAACUGUGUGUGAGUGAAGGGGAGAGAUGUGCCCCUGCCUACAUGGACCUGCUGCAAGAGGACAUUUUGCUCAUUCCUUCUACUUCAAUUAUCCUCACAUUCUUCUCUAGCCUAGGAAAUUUGACUUUUUCUCCUGCCGUGUUUGAACACCUGUAUCCUUUCCUUGGCUGCUGGUAUCACUUCAUAUUCCCUGAACUGAUGAUGGGAUUCUGUCAAAGAUAUCAGAGGACAUGGAUUUGGCAGUGGAAACCAAUGGAUUUCAUUCCCUGGUUAACACUGUCAACCUUCAGAAAGCACAGACGUCUUUGCAUUAUGACUUCAUAUAAAGUUGGUAACUUUUGCAUGCCAGGAAUGAAAAGGAAAUGUAUCAACAACAUGGGAAGCAUGGUAAGGUGUCAAGGAAAGGGGAACAAAUGAGUGUGAUCCAGAAUGUUACAUCUCUUUGUGGGUGACUUGACUGAGAUACAGAUGGAAGGGACAGACCUUUUUACUAUUACUCCUCAGAACCAAAGGGUAAGAAAUUGCUUUGCUGGAGGUCACUUCAUCCUGACUGCAUUCAUAUACAGGUGAUUUGUUUCAGUGCACAGUGGCAUAUCCUGCAGUGUUAAAAUCAAUGGGAAUGUUGCUGCUGAAAUAGGAAAAGCAUUUUAUCUUUGCUUCUGAUAACUGAUGUCACAAGAUCUUGGAAAGGGUUUUACUGCUCUUAAAAACAAUCUGAACUUGUGUUUUAUUCCUGGUGCCUAAUGCUUCCAUUGUAAAUGGCAUUUCAUCAGGAUGCUGUGCCUUGUGAAUUCAGGGAGAAGGUUAUACACUGGAAAGGCAUAAGAAGCCAGCACUUAGUGAGAAACAAGUAAUUAAGACAUCUGGAUAGAAGAGGACACAUCAAAAAUAACAAUUUAACAAAGUGUCUGACAACAAGAAACAGGAACUGGGAAGGCGAGGUUUCAGGUGAACUCAUAGAACAGAACAGUCAUGGUUAUACUGGAGCCUCAACUUGUUGCACUCUCAGCUGCUCUUUCCUCCCUGGAGCCUUUCCAGCCCAGAUGGUGCAGCUGAGGCUGCAUGGCCUGAGGCAGAGUGUUGGAGCAGCAGCGUGUUGUUAGCUGGCUUAGCAAAAAAUUGUCUUUUUUUUUUCUUUUUCAGCCCAUGUACUGUAAGCUGAGGCCUAAGUCUGGACUUACUCUUUUCCUGUGGUUGAAUCCAUAGAGAAUUGAACUGUAAUAAUGGCAGCAGAUUGUAUAUUUUCCUGUCUUUGGAUGGCUUGACAGCAGGCCAGUGAUAGCAAUUUUCAGAGCAUUGAGACUUCUUGUGCAAGUUAACUUGCUGGAGCCUGUGCAAACCUGGGUUCUGGUUGUUCCAGUGGAGCACUGUCAAGUCUAUGCACAGCCACAGUUUUCUACUUUCUUCUGAAACAUCUGGUUCCAAGCAGGCUGAAUCUGUAUCUCCUGGAGGUUGGUAUUCCCCCUGUAAUAUUUCUGUGCCCUCUUAUCGAAUGCAUCAUCCUGAAGACCAACAGCAGCAGUUCUCAUUCAAUAGGUGGUGCUUGCAAAUUCCUCAAGUAGGGAAGAGUGUUCUGAAGAUUUUAUCCAAAACCUGGGUUUUUCUCUGUAUUUUUUU